CUUGCGAGAGGUGUCCUCUUGGAAGAGCACAGUCAGAAGAGGGGCGCACAGCAUGUGGCUUGUGUCACGCAGGUACAGUAGCGAACAACACCGGCUUGUCUCUGUG
rnacentral:SRP_RNA from 13 species